rnacentral:rRNA from 1 species
UACGUAGGGGGCAAGCGUUGUCCGGAAUCAUUGGGCGGAAAGCGCGUGUAGGCGGCCCGGUAAGUCCGCUGUGAAAGUCGGGGGCUCAACCCUCGAAUGCCGGUGGAUACUGUCGGGCUAGAGUGCGGAAGAGGAGAGUGGAAUUCCUGGUGUAGCGGUGAAAUGCGCAGAUAUCAGGAAGAACACCAAUGGCGAAAGCAGCUCUCUGGGACGGUACUGACGCUGAGGAGCGAAAGCGUGGGGAGCGAACAGG